rnacentral:tRNA from 1 species
UCAAAGUGUAGCUUAAAUAAAGCAUCUGGCCUACACCCAGAAGAUCUCAGUAAUAUGUCCACUUUGAAC